rnacentral:rRNA from 1 species
GCUGGCGGCAGGCUUAACACAUGCAAGUCGAGCGCUCGUAGCAAUACGGGAGCGGCAGACGGGAGAGUAACACGUGGGAACGUACCCUUCGGUUCGGAAUAACCCAGGGAAACUUGGGCUAAUACCGGAUACGUCCGUAAGGAGAAAGAUUUAUCGCCGAGGGAUCGGCCCGCGUCCGAUUAGCUAGUUGGUGAGGUAACGGCCCACCAAGGCGACGAUCGGUAGCUGGUCUGAGAGGAUGAUCAGCCUCACUGGGACUGAGACACGGCCCAGACUCCUACGGGAGGCAGCAGUGGGGAAUAUUGGACAAUGGGCGCAAGCCUGAUCCAGCCAUGCCGCGUGGGUGAUGAAGGCCUUAGGGUUGUAAAGCCCUUUCGGCGGGGAAGAUAAUGACGGUACCCGCAGAAGAAGCCCCGGCUAACUUCGUGCCAGCAGCCGCGGUAAUACGAAGGGGGCUAGCGUUGCUCGGAAUCACUGGGCGUAAAGCGCACGUAGGCGGGUCGUUAAGUCAGGGGUGAAAUCCUGGAGCUCAACUCCAGAACUGCCUUUGAUACUGGCGAUCUCGAGUUCGGGAGAGGUGAGUGGAACUGCGAGUGUA